AUGUUAACAAUGCUAAUAUGUACCAUUCAACAUCCAAAAUUAAUAUCAAAACAAUUCACCAUACAAUAACUUCACACAUACCUAGAUCCCUUCCUAAAUCAAGAUAGUUCAUCACACUAAAAUGCCAAAGCCUAAUACUUAUUAAAUUCAAAUCACAUGUGUACAAUAGCACCAUACUAUACAUCCCUUUCCUAAAUUGCAUCACUAAUAUUGUCAUCAAAAUCAAGACAGUUCGCAAGAUCUAAGAGCUCCUAUAUAGCAACUUACCAAAACUUAAGCUAAACAAUGUACAACGUCAAAUAAGAGAGAAACCCGGCCUCGCUCCUAAAUAGCUGCAGUCUCUUUUUUUUUGGGGG
rnacentral:lncRNA from 1 species